UCCGGUCGCAAUCCAACGGCAAUAUUUUUGCUUCUAUGUAUUUUCGCAAUUCAAGUUUCGCUGUGCAACGGAGAUGACGAAGAAGAUGACGAAGAUGAUAGUUUAGCGGAAGAGGACGAGGAUCCUUUCAAACACGACGCAGAAAUUAUAGAGGCCUGGAUGCGUGACAAAGAGGCUAGAGCUAAUAAUAAGAAGAUAUCGGAUUAUGGUAGAGACGAUGUGGA